AUCCUGCCCCAUUCUUUCCUUCUGGUAACCACCAAAAUGCUUUCUCUUCAAAAACAGCAUGGAAUAUCACAUUUUCAGGCCUUACAAAGAUGAGAUGUGGGAAAUGAUUUACUUCUGGUCAGCUUUAUUCCCAGUAUCUAACUCAUGAUUCUGCCUGAAAUUUAAGGUAUUUAUUGAGGACUCCAUUGUGUGCCAAGGCAGAGGCCUGACUCAAAAAAUAUUUAAAUGAAAUUCAACAUUUAAAGAAAUAUCUUGGAAGCACUUUGCACGUGGGACACAAAGAAUUGUAAUCCUCAUAACAAUUUCUCACAACUUGUCAAAUUCGACUUUUACUGUGGGUGGAUUCUUACAAGUUCACAGAGUAACUAAGGAGAAUUGUGCAGCAAUUAAAGCAAUUAAGAGCAAA